rnacentral:lncRNA from 1 species
GAUCAGAAUACUUUAAUAAGAUACCAGUGUCAAAAUACAUUUCCUUAUAAAGUUAAGCUCCCAUACAGUUAUAAUGUUGUCAGUAGGAAUUCGACAAUAUAAUAACGUUCAUGAAAUCGUUACGUUGACAGGUAGGGUUAAUAUGAAGCUUGGAAUAUUUUUCAGUGUUUUAGUAAAACUGCAAGGGUAAAAUGCCCUUAAUGCCAGGGCAACACACACAGGAAAUCAAAUACCAGCAUUUACACGUCAGUAACCCUUCAAGUUCUGCCACCCUGUGUGGGGUAAUGCCGUGCAGCUAAAAUAUGAUUUACGCAACACCAUGACUAAGGAAUUUCUCAUAGAACUUAAAUUUCUUUUGAAAGCUAUUUUUUGUUUUUGGCAAUAAGUCUAUCCGGGCUUACUAAAUAGUUGGCCCAAUGUGCUUUGUGUGUGUUUUUAGAAACUUCUUCAUUGUACCCAUUACAGAAAAGUUCCAUGUAAUUGGUAUUGAAAAACCAGAGGUGUCGUCCCUCUUACCCAGGGAGUUGCAAAGUGCUCUGGGAACACUAUUUUCAGUGCUUCCUACCUACAUGUCACUGACCGACCCAGAGACCUCAGCCAGGGCCUGUGGCUAGGGGCCAUCCCUGGAGGCCUUGCGGGGCCAUCUGGCUGCCGGCUGAGUGGGGGCUGCAGGGCUGGUCUGGACCAGCUGCUCUCCCGCUGUGCAGCCUCCUCCUCAGUCCAGCUCCACGGGGCUCCAAGGUCGUGAGCUUGGAGGACGUGGACGGGGUCACUAUACCAUUUUUGACCCCUCAUUUGCAUGAAUUCCCGUCUAAACCAUCUCAUGGUAGUUCUGGAAAUGUCCAAAUGUGCCGUGUGAAAGACCAUCCGAGUCACAUAGCUCAGUGCACUUGAAGGGCUAGCAACAAAACCUUAAGAAAAGUUAGAGCACUUCCCCGCCCCACCCCCCGACCCCACAACGUGCCAUCAGACCCUCUUGGCAGCAAUAAUAAUAAUACAUACAUACAUAGUACAUAGAGAAUGUGAGGGGAAGUCUGCAGUGUCCACAACACUAAGAAAAAUUAACAGCUUCGAAAAGAUCUUAAAGUGAUUUUGUGAGCAGGAUUCCAUUUCCGUUUCUAAGUUUUUAGAUAUUACAAAGUACCCAUAUAUAUGAUAAACACUUAACCCAGAUAUAAAUUUUCUCCUCUUUUAAAAAACUCAGUUAUGUUUUUGAAUAAUAAUAAAAAAUCCACCAAAUGCGGGGGAAAAACACCAGUUUAGGAAAAGCCACGCUGUGCAACUUUCACAGAUAACCACAUACGUUGGAGUUGACCCUUCACAUUUCUUUUUUUCCAAAAUUAGAGCAAAGAGUCAGCUUAAAC